rnacentral:rRNA from 1 species
AACGAACGCUAGCGGCGUGCCUAACACAUGCAAGUCGUACGAGAAAUUCCGAGCAAUCGGGAGAGUAAAGUGGCGCACGGGUGAGUAACGCGUGGGUAAUUUACCCUAAAGUUGGGAAUAACACUUCGAAAGGGGUGCUAAUACCGAAUAAUAUCUCUGGAACUGUGGUUCCGGGGAUCAAAGAUGGCUGAGGCUUGCAAGCUAUCACUUUAGGAUGAGCCCGCGUACCAUUAGCUAGUUGGUGGGGUAAUGGCCCACCAAGGCCAUGAUGGUUAGCUGGUCUGAGAGGAUGACCAGCCACGCUGGAACUGAGAUACGGUCCAGACUCCUACGGGAGGCAGCAGUGAGGAAUCUUGCGCAAUGGGGGCAACCCUGACGCAGCAACGCCGCGUGAGUGAUGAAGGCCUUCGGGUCGUAAAGCUCUGUCAGAUGGGAAGAAAAUUUUCGCGACGAAUAAUCGCGGAGAUUGACGGUACCGUCAAAGGAAGCACCGGCUAACUCCGUGCCAGCAGCCGCAGUAACAC